UGUCCAGGUGCAAAUGACAGAGGAGUCUUACUGGUCCCCCCGGGCCAGCGCUGUCCCGCCUUAAAAGAAGCGCGGCUGCUCGUGGACUCGUCCGUUGUUUUCCCCGGUAACUGCCCGCGUGGGCUGUCGCGGAAGAGUCCGACCGCCUGGUCUGCUCCUGCCAGGAGGCCCGGGCCUCGCGUCUGAGCAGGUGGAGCUCCUGAGGGCGGGCGGGCGGAAGGGCAGAAGCGCUCGCGGAGCCACGUGGAAGAGGCGCGACCCCGCUGUGGAGGGCCCGCGCCCGCCGCCGCCUUUCACGCCACGGAAGGGAGGGUUUCUGCCCUGCUGGCCGCGGGAGCCAGGGGACUGGGCUCCCCGAACUUUGCGACCCCGCCCCGCACGGAAUGCAGAGCUUGACUCUUUUAUUAAAGUUGCCGAGCCACCGAUCACAGAAUUCCACAAGGCUAAAAUUCCCAAUUCUAACCGGAAAAUUUGUAAGGUGUGUGACUCUCUGGCCUUUGCUCGGAGCAGCACACGGCUACUCAACGGUGGCAAGAAAGCAGGUGGCAAGAACCUACUGAUGGUGGCUUAAGAGGUGGGAACACCUGCCAGACAUUCAUGGCUUCUGAAGACUGGGCCCUAAGGGUCUGGCAGCACAACGAACUGCUUGUGAUGUCAGCAAUGGCAGGUGACUCAGCGCCUCGUGUGUCAUAGAGCAAUGGUGCCUAAGCUGGCUGCACGCUAGAGUCACCCCAGGAGCUGUUAAAAUAAGCAGAAGCUCAGAGCUCACGCACACCCGCAUUCCACCCCCAUAGGUUCUGAUUUAACUGGUCUGGAGUAGGGCCCAGGCACUGGUAUAUUUUAAAAGCGGCCUCCUGGAGAAUUCUCAAGGCAGCCAGGGUUAAGAAUCAAGGUCCUUGAAAUGUCACUGUGAGCCUUCUUGAGGUGGCGAGGUGAUGGUAGUCAGUCUUCCAGUCACCUGGUUGCCUCCAUCCCUCCCUAAUAAAUACUCUAAGGCGGCUUCACGCGUUUGCCUAUCCUCCUCCAUGCUAACAAGCAAUUCAUUGACAAAUCAAAAUAGAUCUCUCAGCAUUCAGCUCUUGGAGCAUUUCUCAGCCUUCUGUGUCCAUUCACAGAACCUGUGGAAUCCUUUAUAAGAGUCGAUGUCAUGCCUCACCCGGAUCAGCAACUCUGCCGGUAGCUCUAUCAUCAUCAUUAAAAAAACCCGUCUCCAUAGGUGUUCGGGGCACGUUACACAUGCAGAGACCUCAGCCCUGCCUCCGCAGACGACUAGUCGGAGCAAAAGCCCAGCAAUCAGCACACAAACAUCGUUGCGUGAUUCGAAUGCAACUGCUCUUGAAUACUGGGAACGCUGCUCUAGGAGCUGGAUUCAAACAGUCCUUUAUAGCGAGGCUGACACACCACAGGCCAUGUUUCUUUGAGAAUUGUUUGCCAAUAAUUGGUAGUAUUUAAAAUUAGGAGUUUCUUUCCUUCAAACUCUGCAAUUUGGAACAUAAGCACCUUCACCCUAGAAUUAGGGGGAGGUUUCAGACCCAGCUGCUUUUUUUUUUUUCCAUGGAACUGGGGCUCCUUAGAGAAAUCCAUGUCAGGUAAGAAGAUGGAGAUGCAGAAGGAAGGAGAGGACCGAAACCCUGGCUGCCCAGCUCCCUUCACCUACCCAGCGUCAGAUGCUUCACUCCUCUUGGACACCGAUACUCAGUGCUGAUUUGUAUGGUCUGACUUCCAAAUCGAGAGUCUGAACACUCUAAAAACUUCUUUUUGUAACUGAAUUAUGGCAAGCUAUGGUGUUUAGUCCCUGGUAAUGUGAAGAAAAAGCUAAUCUAGUGCACUAGGACAAUGAACUCUGUAUUGUGAAUGAGAUUUAUGAAAACAGAAGCUUCCUGAGUAACCUCAUACCCAGUAAAGCCAGCAGGUGGCGUCCUGGCAAGUGGACUAGAUACGUCAGCUGUAUUCUGUGGAGGCAGAAACUUACUGAUGCCAUUCCAAGAUGAAGCCAGGAGGAAAACAAGUAAUAUAAAGGCCAGAAAAAGCAGAACUCCCUUGAGAAAAAAGAUCCCAUAUGAAGCUGAAGCUUCCAUCUCAGCAAAAAUCUGUCUCCUCUCCACAAGUCCACUCAGGCUGAGAAAUGCGGAACGGAAUGCAAACUGACCUUUGGUCUCCAGACUUCUGAACGUUUGCGGAGUAACUUCAGUGCACUCACGUACUCUGCUUGGAUCCUUCGAGCCGGCACAAUCAAGUCUCCAUCAGAUUUAGUUAUAGCCACCAGAAACACAACACUGGAAAUUUGUACUUUCAGAGAUGUAUACUUUGUGUUUUGGAAGGAGAAAAAGUCAACAUAAUCACCUGCAAUUCAUCUCCUCCCGCUGGUGGCAGCAGUAAAACAAACAUGUCAACCAUAUCAGCAACAGCAAACUCCGACUGGCCCACACCUGAAAUUGUAAAUCACAACUAUAUACUAAAAUAUUCAUAGUGAUUAGACUUUCUCAACUACCUUGACCAUCAUUUCAUUCACUCGUACUCAUGGUCACACACUCAAGCAGAUCCCACUUUAAACACCCCACCUCUGAAGAAUUUAUUAAAUGCACUGCCUUCCCUAUGAGAAGCCC